ACCAGAGUGAUGUAGUGGUUUGCACAUUGGACUAAGAAUCUGGAGAUCAGGGUUCAAUUCCUGCUCGAGUA